rfam:Schistosoma haematobium scaffold921_8, whole genome shotgun sequence.
GUCCAGCUGACGAGUCCCCAAUAGGACGAAGCUCACGUCCUGGAU